GGCGCCAGGCUGCCCAGAGCUGGGCUUAGCCUGUUCAUCUCUCAGGCAUGGGGGGAUCAGAGGAAGCCAACUAUGCUCAGCCUGCCUAGGCCUGCUUCUGUCCUCCUCUGAGCAUGAAGUAUCAUCCGGUAUUUGCCGAGGCUGCUAACACCCACACUGAGUGGACAAGGCAGAUGGAUCCACUUGCUUGCAGGGGCGAUUCCUGAAACAGGGUGCAGGCUUUGCCUAAAGCACCCUCACCCGCCUGAAGCACUUUUUGUACAGACAGACGACGAUUUUCCCCCCCAAGUCAGCCCCGACUGGGGCCACAUGAUUGAGAGGUGCCAAAUGCCACCUUGUCCUCCGCAGCGUCCGCCCUGGCUGCUCCCGGGAAGAGCUCCAACACCAGGUCGUACGCGGGCGGGGCCCUCGACAACGAAACCUCUGCCAAAGAGGAGUGACCCUGGGCUCCACGCUGGCGGCCAGUGCUUGGGCGCGCAGCCGUAGACCCGGCAUUGCCCAUCCCGCGCAUCCCGGGCGGGGCGCGGCGCGGCUAACCCGCCUCCCUUCCAUCCUCCCGGCGCCCGCCCGCGGCGGCCAUGGGGGCGCGGCUGGGGCGGCGGGCGAGAGCAGAUGCCCCUGCGGCGCCGAGUGCGGGGCCCGCGCCCUACGAGCGCCGGGUGCGCUGGCUGCGAGAGAUCCAGUCCACGCUUCGGGAGCGGCGGCCGGAGCGCGCUCGGCAGCUGCUGCGCCUCCUGCGCCAGGACCUGGGCCUUGAAGGGAACCUCCUCACUGACAUCCUCCACAGGAAUGUGACUUUCCUUAACUUGGUGGACCCCAUCUCCCAUGACCUGCUGGUGAACCUGGCCCGGGACCUGCAGUGCCCCAAGAAGGACCAUGAGCUCUGGAAGUCCUCGGACAAGAUCUGUCGGCAGCUCAUCUACCACCUCACUCCGCACUCCAAGCGAAAACACCACAGGAAAACCCAGAGCAGGUUCCAGCCCUGACAGCAACCCUGGCCCACAGCAGCAGACGCCCCUAAGCCAAGCAGCAUGUUCCUCAAGAGCAGCCUCCAGAAGACUCUGCUGGUAGGGGAGACUGUGGAUCUUUCUGGCAUCCCGCUCUCGGCCCGGGAUGUGCAGCACAUAUCACGCUACCUGGACACUCGUGGUGUAGAGCUGGUGGUCCUGGACCUGAGCUUCACGGAGCUGAGCGAUGAGCUGCUGCAUCUGCUGCUGCCCAGCCUCUGGGCGCUGCCCCGCCUCACCCAGCUGCUGCUCAAUGGCAAUCGGCUGACCAGAGCUGCUGCCCGGGAACUCACCGAGGCUAUCAAGGACACUGCCAAGUUCCCCGUGUUGGCCUGGGUGGACCUGGGGAACAAUGUGGAUGUGUCUUCACUUCCCCAACCCUUGCUGGUUGGCCUCCGGAGGCGACUGAGCCAGCAUACCUCGCUCCCCACUAUCUAUGAGGGCCUGGACCUCGAGCCUGGGGGCGGCAUGGCUGAGACCACUGCUGCUGUCUCCACCUGGGGCUCUGCCGCCACUGAGGCAGGACCAGAACCUCAGGGUUGUUGUGCCAGGUGACUUCCUACUGGUCUGGUUCAAUGAUAAUGACUGGGGUCUUUUAAGAACCAGGUAUUAGAGGCCCACGUGUGUCCCUCAGAGAGACAGUGAAAAUGCUCGACUUGAGGUGGAGUGAGUGGAAGGAGAAAGGUUUCAUGGCAGGCAGGCCAGGCGGCCCAGACUAGGGGCUCCAUCUUGCCCAGCAAGAGGUGCCUCAGCGCCCAUGGCCCAGACCUUCCAGGAAAGGAUAGCAUCCAUUACUUCAGGCUUUAUGUACCACAGACUUCAGACUCACUGAGCUCCAGGUCCGAUGCGGAGGGGGGGAAAACCCCACCUACCCAGAGUGGGUAAAACUGCAGCCUCAUUGAUGCUCCCUUAGCGCUCACUGGGAAGUCUCCAUGGAAACAAGAUGUAGAGGUCAUGGGUUCAGUGGUGUGGGCUCAGGAGUUGGAGGAGACCUGACCUCAGGGCAGGGUAUGAGUUCUAAGCAGUUGGGAGCUUCAGGGGAGAAGGUUGGGAGUCACAGACAGAUAGGCAAAGCUCUGCACGGAGCCUGAGAGCAAAUGCCAUUGGAGCCCUUCAGUGUGCACUGGGCUGGGGACAAGGCUCUACACACCGAAGGCAAGGCCACGGUGGAUCUGGAGGUGGGACAGUUGACUGUGUGUUUGUCUCCCAUAGGACACAGCACUGGCCACUCUCCCCAGCUCUAGUUCCCACCCUCCCUGUGUAGGCCGAGUGAGUAUCUUGGCCGGGUGAGGAGAUGCAUCUGGCUAGAGAUGAUGAGGUGUCGUGUUUCCUUUGGUUUUAGGGUCACACACAGCGUGUAAGGGGAUGGAGGUGGGGCCCAGCUAGCAUCAGGAGUUCUCAGGGCAGAACGGACCUAAUGGUAUCUCUCUAGGGAGUUACUGCCUUCCUUUCCCAAAAAUCCCUCAAGGUGGUCUUUCAACUAGAAGCCUAAGGUCUCCCUGACUCAUUUAGGAAACUAGAGUUUUUAGCCCAACUGUUAGACAGGCAGGGCACGUGAGGAAGGGACUCAGAGAAGAGCAAAGUAGGGAAGCAGGGUAGAGACAAGACUUAUGGCCUGGUGACAGUGGAGAGACCCAGGAACAGAGGGCAGCCUCAGGGUCAAGGUAAAGGCUGGGGUCACCCCGGACCUGAGUGCCUUUGGCCCACCAGCUCUGACCCCCCCCCCCCACCUUCCUGUCUAACUCCAAGUGGGCUAUGGACAGUACAUCCAGGCCCCCACAAAACAUCAAUGGCAGCAUGUCCCCAGCCCAGUGUGCCCAAGGAGGCAGCUGGCUACACUGCAUCAGCUCCCAGGCUUGGGAAAGGAGACAGCUGAGGAAAAGCAUUUCACCUCAUGCCCGGCCACUUUAGACAACUGCUUAUCAAGACACUGUGAGAAGAGCCCAGGACCUAGGGCUCUGCUUUGUACUUGCUGUGGGACCUGGCCAGAUCCUCCAUCUCUUUGGACCCACCUUCCCCCUCUCUGUUAACUAGAACUUGUUGUUCCAGAUCCUGGCACUCAGUGCUUCAUCUUGAAUUUACUGUCCACCCCCUGAGUUCCCCCCGCCCCUGCCCUGUUUUAAAGACAUAGCUUGAAGCUGUUGGACUUCCCCUGUGCCUUAACAACUCGGGACAAAGUUUGGGGCUUUCUGGAGCCAGGCUAAGCAAGAUGGAGUAUGGGCCAGCAGAAAGAAGGAAGGGAGAGCCAGCUUUGGGCCCAGCGGACUGAUAACCCCAACACAUGCUUAGGCAGCUGAGUUCUCUCUGUAACUCCUUGCUGGACAAAGGCUGAGUUCUGAGUCUCUCCUGCCCCUCUUAUUCUCUGCCCACAAACCUUUAGGUAUCACAGUGCAGCAAGGUUCUUCCUAGGAUAGUGUGUGAGGACCAGAGCCGGGGGUUCCUGGGCAGUUUCCAGGCAAAUCCAGAUGGCAGCAGACGGUCUCAAUUUCCCCACCUUUUCGAGGCAAAAAAAAAAAAAAGCAGUAGCUGAGCCAGAUCCUGAGACAGUUUAGGAGACCAGAGACAAAGUUGACUUUGCUGCUGUGCAAGUAAGUGGUCCUGGCCCUUCACGGAGUAGUUCUCAUGACUACCGACAGGGAGAUUCCAUGGGCAGGGACAGAGAUUGCCCGAGAAGGGAGGGUUGAGCCUUGUCUUUGUGCUACUGUAACAGAAUUCCACAUCCUGGUAAUUUAUAAACAAUAGAAGUUUACUUAGCCCGUGGUUCUAACGUGAAGCAGAGGAGGAGCAUCUGGUGAGGGCUUUCUUGCUGCGUCAUUGUCUGUAUCACAUGGCUAGAGAGCAUGCAAGGGGCAGUCAGGACUUCCGCGCACCCGGGGAGAGAGAGCCCCGCUGACCCAAUCACCCUUUAAACGGCAGACCUGCUGGGUUUCCCAUGCAUGUGCUCUGAGUAGGCGGCACUCAGGGUGGAGAAGACAGCACUGACCAGGAAGGAAGAAGGAAGCGUGGUGGGGGCCCAACCUGGAGGCAUUGAAACAUCUUUGGUCCAGACCCAUCACUUCCUAGCAGUGUGGUCCAUUUGGGAGCUAGGGCACAAAUAUCCUUGUUAUCCUGUUGAAGUGAGGAGGAGAUGAGGUUUGAAAAGAGGCUGUCACAGGACUGGGGCAAGCCAGCAUGAUGCAGUGUCUGUUGGUGAGUCCUUCACCUGGGCUUUCUGUGUGGUGAGAUUUGGCAAGAGCUAGGCUGAAACACAUUAUCUAUCUAUCUAUCUAUCUAUCUAUCUAUCUAUCUAUCUAUCUACCUACCUACCUACCUAUCUAUCUAUCUAUCUAUCUAUCUAUCUAUCUAUCUAUCUAUCUAUCUAUCUAUCUACCUACCUAUCUAUCUAUCUAUCUGACUGUCUGUCUAUCAUCUAUUCAUCCAUUCAUCAUCUAUCAAUAAAUCUACCCAUCAUCUAUCAAUCAAUCUAUCCAUCAUCUAUCAGUCAUCUAUCAAUCAUCUAUUUUAGCACUGAGAAUUGGACUCUGGGCCUGAACUAUACUAGGCAAGUGCUUUUUCACCAUACUCCCCCCACCCCCUCUCCUUACUUAGCCAGUCUUAUGGUGUAGCCUACACUGGGCUCAAACUUCCAAUCCCCCUGCCUCUGUCUUAUGAGUGCUAGGAUGACAGGCCUGUGUCACUGUUUCUAGCGCAAUCUCUCUGAGAACCCAGAAUCGUGGGCAGCUGGUUCCUGAUGCACCAAGGUUUUCUCUGGGUGAAAAGGAAAGCUCACUCGUCCUGGGAGAGGGCCUCGGAUCGCCACCACCGCUGCUGUCGUCUCCACUAAAGAAACCUUCUGUACUUUCUUCCCAGUUACAUAUUUUGUAUUGUAUUGUUUUGUUUUAAACAGUAAUUUACUUAAAAAAAAAAAAAACAAACAAGCUGUUAUGUACUGGGCGUGGUGGCACAUGCCUGUAAGCCAGUCUUGGCUAUGUAGUAAGCAUCCGUGACAUUGCAACAUAAUAAAGCAAACACACUGUGACAAGUUUAAAGUG